AGAGUUUGAUCAUGGCUCAGGAUGAACGCUGGCGGCGUGCCUAACACAUGCAAGUCGAACGGGUGUGGUAUCAGGGAAAAGGGGUUUACUUCUUUGACCAGAUAACACACUAGUGGCGGACGGGUGAGUAACGCGUGGAUAACCUGCCUUAUACAGGGGGAUAACAGGGAGAAAUUCUUGCUAAUACCCCAUAGGUAUGUCUGACGCAUGUUGGACAUAUUAAAGCUUUGGCGGUAUAAGAUGGGUCCGCGUCUGAUUAGCUAGUUGGUGGGGUAAAGGCCCACCAAGGCGACGAUCAGUAGCCGGCUUGAGAGAGUGGACGGCCACAUUGGGACUGAGACACGGCCCAAACUCCUACGGGAGGCAGCAGUGGGGAAUAUUGCACAAUGGGGGAAACCCUGAUGCAGCGACGCCGCGUGAAGGAAGAAGGUCUUCGGAUCGUAAACUUCUAUCAGCAGGGAAGAAGGAAGUGACAGUACCUGAGUAAGAAGCCCCGGCUAACUACGUGCCAGCAGCCGCGGUAAUACGUAGGGGGCGAGCGUUAUCCGGAAUUACUGGGUGUAAAGGGUGCGUAGGCGGUAUGGCAAGUCAGUUGUGAAACCCCCUGGCUCAACCAGGGGCUUGCAAUUGAAACUGUCAUACUAGAGUGCAGGAGAGGAAAGCGGAAUUCCUAGUGUAGCGGUGAAAUGCGUAGAUAUUAGGAAGAACACCAGUGGCGAAGGCGGCUUUCUGGACUGUAACAGACGCUGAGGCACGAAAGCGUGGGGAGCGAACAGGAUUAGAUACCCUGGUAGUCCACGCCGUAAACGAUGAGUGCUAGGUGUCGGGGUCUAAUUAGAUCUCGGUGCUGAAGUUAACGCAUUAAGCACUCCACCUGGGGAGUACGAUCGCAAGAUUGAAACUCAAAGGAAUUGACGG
rnacentral:rRNA from 1 species